CUUGACACUGAACACUGGUCCUUGAUGUGUAGGAUAGGUGGGAGGCUUUGAAGCGUGGACGCCAGUCUGCGUGGAGCCAUCCUUGAAAUACCACCCUUUAAUGGCUGGUGUUCUAACGUAGACCCGUGAUCCGGGUUGCGGACAGUGUCUGGUGGGUAGUUUGACUGGGGCGGUCUCCUCCCAAAGAGUAACGGAGGAGCACGAAG
rnacentral:rRNA from 1 species